GUAGGGAAUAUUGGGCAAUGGGCGAGAGCCUGACCCAGCCAUGCCGCGUGCCGGAUGAAGGCCUUCUGGGUUGUAAACGGCUUUUCUCAGGGAAGAAAAAGGUGAUGCGUCACCAACUGACGGUACCUGAGGAAUAAGCACCGGCUAACUCCGUGCCAGCAGCCGCGGUAAUACGGAGGGUGCAAGCGUUGUCCGGAUUUAUUGGGUUUAAAGGGUGCGUAGGUGGCCUGUUAAGUCCGGGGUGAAAGCCCACAGCUCAACUGUGGAACUGCCCUGGAUACUGGCGGGCUUGAGUCCAGACGAGGUUGGCGGAAUGGAAGCUGUAGCGGUGAAAUGCAUAGAUAGCUUCCAGAACCCCGAUUGCGUAGGCAGCUGACUAGGCUGGUACUGACACUGAGGCACGAAAGCGUGGGGAGCGAACAGGAUUAGAAACCCGUGUAGUCC
rnacentral:rRNA from 1 species